GACAGAGGGUGCAAACGUUGCUCGGAAUUACUGGGCGUAAAGCGCGUGUAGGUGGAUUGGUGUGUCAGAUGUGAAAGCCCUGGGCUCAACCCAGGAACUGCACCUGAAACUACCAGUCUUGAGUGGUGGAGAGGGAAGUGGAAUCCUCGGUGUAGCAGUGAAAUGCGUAGAUAUCGAGAGGAACACCAGUGGCGAAGGCGAGUCCCUGGACAACACCUGACACUGAGGCACGAAAGCUAGGGGAGCAAACAGG
rnacentral:rRNA from 1 species